AGAGGGCAAUAAGGUCUCCCCUGAGCCUCCUCUUCUCCAGACUGAAUAAUCCCAGCUCCUUCAGCCGCUUAAGGCCUGUACUCCAGACCCCUCACCAGGAACACCCAGUGAGUUCACCUUAACAAGGAAAGGAGCUUAUACUGGUAGUAAUGCAUUGAUACUGUAUUGGCCUUGGUGCAUUUUAAUCAGAUGUUUUCUGUAUUUUUGUGAAACAUAAGCAUGCUUCUUAGUAUCUUAAGGUGAUGGGUGUGUUCCGUUAAACACAUAAGAAAUGCACUGAAAUAUACUAUUGUUGAAUAGCUUUCAUUGUGUUCUUGUAAUGAUUAGUCUAUGUACUUUCACAAGCAUGCAUUAAAUGUAAUUUAUACAAAACGACAGGAGCAGAAGAAUACAGACACUAUAUAAAUGUAGGCCCACUGUGAGUGACUUCUCAGUUGUAGGCACUCAUCCUUUUAUUAGUUUACAGUUCAUUUGUUGCUCCUUUAAAACAAGAAAAAAAACCCAUCAAAACAAAGAAAAGUGCCUCAGUACUGGAGAGAGCGUGAUAUGAAUGGUACAGUGUUACAGGAGGGAAUUCACACAUUCAUGAGUUCUUGCAAAAUCCAGGCUGGCUUCACCACAGGUGACUCCAUAAAUAACACUGCUGCACAAUGUCAGGAACAGAAUUGGUAACUAAAUCUAAGAAUGUGUUCUCACAACUCUAGGUGCCUAUUGCAUGCACCAAUCACUUGUUUAGCUAUAUUAAUUUAGUUAUAUUAAAGUUCCCUCUCAUGCUUAUAUAUGUGUGUGUGUGUAUAUAUCCACACAUAAAAUGCCCUUCAAAUCAGUUGGCAAUUUUAGAAUUUCAUUGCAGUCACGCACCACUUCACAUUUUUAGAACCCUGGGAGGUUUCUUUGUACAAUUUUCUGAUGAAUUUUCGGAGCAAUGGAUUAUAGAAGCAGGCUGUGUGAAACAUUUAAAACUAAGAAUGCUGUUCUUAUUUUUGACCUUGAAUGUUUGACAUCUCAUUAACUAACCACAGCACUACGAAAAAGAGACACGGAAACCUGUGCAUCUAUGGAUUUGUACUGCUUUUUCUUUAUUACCAUUUUUAAUUGGAUUUUGAAUCUCGUGUUUACAGUCUUCCAAACAAAGGAUUUUUUAUGUAUAGUCGUCUACAGUUCAAAUUGAUCACUGAUUUUACUGGAAAUAUAAGUAACAGCAACAUAGUUUGAAUUUGAGUUGAAGUUUUCUUUUAGGAGGCCAAACCAUCUUAUUGUGAAUGAAUGAGGUGUUCAUUUUCAGCAUCUAUUUACCUUUAGAUCACUAACGCUAGGCAACCUUAUGUCCUUUCUGUAUAUAGCUAAUUCUCUGCCAUGCAGGAAUAAUAGAGAUAGCCCAGGCAGUGGAAAACAAGAUAAGACAGGUUUUAGGGAAUGCAGAGUUGGAUCUGUGCUAACUCCUGCUGAGACACCAGGCUGUCAUUCCACUGUGGGGAAGCAUUCUAGGUUCAAGAAGGAUUAGUUUAGGAAGAGUAGAAAUGCAAGGAAAUCAUCUCUUACGACUGCAUCUGUGAAGUGACUCAUCCCCAGUGUAGAUAAAACAGCCUCCAGGUAUUUGACACUCCACUGCUGGUUUUCAUUGCCAAAAUAAUCUUCCUUUCCUUAUUUUUUUUAAUAUCAGAUACCUCCACAAGUUGAUUAAUGUAAAGUCUGAGAGACAAUUAUGUAUUCGAGUCUGCUGACUCCAACUCUGGUGGAGUUAUACUGAACUAUGAUUUCAGAAAAAGGGCAAGCUGACUGAACAGUUCACCUUGAUGGAGGAGGAGGAGAGUGUCCCUGCUGCUCUUCUCAGCUCACAGCUUACUCGUGUGCCAAGCACCUCUGGAACUGCCUGUAUGAGUUUUGGCAGCCUGUAAAGGAUAGCUGAAGCCUGCUUCAUGGGCAAGACCAAAGUCCUAUGUGAAGAUGGAAACUACUCUGAAAAUAAUUGUGUGGUAACGGAGGUUGCAGUGUAACUGUGGCUGGGACCCAUUGAACUGACACCAGGGCAAGAGCAAUAAGUCAUAGCUGGGAAUUAGAAGAGAGUCUUAGUAGGAGAGGCAUCAGUACUUACAGCAAGGGAGGAAAAUGCAGUGGAACCCUGGGUAUAUACUAUACAGCUAUAUUAUAGCUGUAGGGAGGGAAAAAGGAUCCAGGCACCGCAUUAUGAAAAAUGGGCCUUCAGUCCCACAUUAUGGUUCUGAUGAUUUGUGGUAGGUUAUCAGAGUUCAUACUGCACACUUCAGUGAAGUUACAGUCCCUGGAAUAGCUAUCUCUCUCUAUUUUGUUUUCUCUCUCCUAUAUCCUUUUAUAACAUGCUUUGAGCCUUGCACGCUUUCAUAAACCUUUUCAAAGUCUCCUGCUUCUUUCUUGGUCUUCCAGGCUACCUUUGGUGCUCAGGCACGAGGGCGAGGAUGAGGGACCAGUCCCACAUCACAUAUAACUUUUCCAUCACAUUGCAACCUGUAACAGGGCCACACGGUAUCCGCACGUAGCAUGUGGUAGUAGGCAGCGUGACCUGCUGCCCCAGAGCUGAGCAGCCUGGCCAGCCCUCUGCUUGAUCCCCAGCACUUCUGGGGUGUGCGAACCACAUCUGAGCCUGGGAAAUGGAUUGAUUCUUUUGAAGUUAAGCCAAAUAAUUUUCCUUCCUGUCAGUUUUUUGAAAAAUGAGAGGGGGAAAAAAGAAGCCUCUUUUUUGCUUCCUUUAAUUCUGCUUUUGGAGUUUUAAUCAGUCAUGCUUUUUUGGACGUCUAUUUCUUGCCCUCUGAUCUGUCAUCUAAUUUGAUUUUUCAUUCCUGUUACAGAAAAAAAAAGUCU